AGACUGUGAUGAGGGCAUUUUACCAAUAACCCUUUUAGUCUUUCUCAUGUUGCAAACAAUGAUUCUCCUUCUGCCUGUUGGAAAUUUAUAAUUUAACCUCUCAAUUU